rnacentral:rRNA from 1 species
AUUGAACGCUGGCGGCAUGCUUUACACAUGCAAGUCGAACGGCAGCGCGGGCUUCGGCCUGGCGGCGAGUGGCGAACGGGUGAGUAAUGCAUCGGAACGUGCCCAGUAGUGGGGGAUAGCCCGGCGAAAGCCGGAUUAAUACCGCAUACGACCUGAGGGUGAAAGCGGGGGACCGAAAGGCCUCGCGCUAUUGGAGCGGCCGAUGUCGGAUUAGCUAGUUGGUGGGGUAAAGGCUUACCAAGGCGACGAUCCGUAGCUGGUCUGAGAGGACGACCAGCCACACUGGGACUGAGACACGGCCCAGACUCCUACAGGAGGCAGCAGUGGGGAAUUUUGGACAAUGGGGGCAACCCUGAUCCAGCCAUGCCGCGUGCGGGAAGAAGGCCUUCGGGUUGUAAACCGCUUUUGUUCGGGAAGAAAUCCUCUGGGCUAAUACCCCGGGGGGAUGACGGUACCGGAAGAAUAAGCACCGGCUAACUACGUG